rnacentral:rRNA from 1 species
AACGAACGCUGGCGGCAGGCUUAACACAUGCAAGUCGAACGCCCCGCAAGGGGAGUGGCGCACGGGUGAGUAAUACAUGGGAACGUGCCUUUCAGUCCAGGAUAACGUCGGGAAACUGACGCUAAUACUGGAUAUUCUCUACGGAGGAAAGAUUUAUCGCUGAAAGAUCGGCCCAUGCCAGAUUAGCUAGUUGGUGAGGUAAUGGCUCACCAAGGCUACGAUCUGUAGCGGGUCUGAGAGGACGAUCCGCCAAACUGGUACUGAGACAGGGACCGGACUCCUACGGGAGCCAGCGGUGGGAAAUAUGGAACAAUGGGGAAACCCCGAAUCCGCCAUGGCGGGGGAGGUAUUGAGGGCCUUAGGUUUGAAAGCCUCUUUUUUAGGGGAAAAUAUGAACGGAACCUGAGAAAAAGGCCCCGCUAACUUCGUGCCAGCAGCCGCCGUAA